AUAUUGGUGCGAGACCGAUAGCAUACAAGUACCGUGAGGGAAAGAUGAAAAGAACUUUGUAAAGAGAGUUAAAGAGUACCUGAAACUGCCGAAAGGGAACCGGAUCGUUUCCAGUGUCUAUAAUCCGUGGCAUAUUUCAUUGGUCGAGUGUGUGCGUUGCGUGUUGUAGCAGCGGCUUUUUGGCUGCGCUCGUGCGUGUGAUGUGCAUGCUUGCUGAUGCCCUGUGCUGCGGUGGGACGUCAAUGUCAGUUCGUAUACUGCGGGAAAUGGCUGCCGAGGAGGUAGGGCUUACGCUUGCGUUUGUCUGUUAUACCUUGGUAGACGAGUCGUCGCGGUUGGGACUGAGGUGCCUACAACGUGCUUUUGAGUGGGUUUGUGUCUCCGUGUGCACCGUGUGCGGAUAGCUUGCUAUGCGCGUGUGGUUGUAUGUGGAUUGAUGCGAGCCUUAACUUGUUGCCGUUCGGGACAUUGACGAAAUGGAGCGAUCCGACCCGUCUUGAAACACG
rnacentral:rRNA from 1 species